rnacentral:rRNA from 1 species
GUACACUCCUGCGGGAGGCAGCAGUGGGGAAUAUUGGACAAUGGGCGCAAGCCUGAUCCAGCCAUGCCGCGUGAGUGAUGAAGGCCCUCGGGUUGUAAAGCUCUUUCACCGGUGAAGAUAAUGACGGUAACCGGAGAAGAAGCCCCGGCUAACUUCGUGCCAGCAGCCGCGGUAAUACGAAGGGGGCUAGCGUUGUUCGGAUUUACUGGGCGGAAAGCGCACGUAGGCGGACUAUUAAGUCAGGGGUGAAAUCCCGGGGCUCAACCCCGGAACUGCCUUUGAUACUGGUAGUCUUGAGUUCGAGAGAGGUGAGUGGAAUUCCGAGUGUAGAGGUGAAAUUCGUAGAUAUUCGGAGGAACAACAGUGGCGAAGGCGGCUCACUGGCUCGAUACUGACGCUGAGGUGCGAAAGCGUGGGGAGCAAACAGGAUUAGAAACCCGGGUAGUCCCAUG